CCUGGCUCUAAGUUCCUGCCCUGUGUGAGUUCCAGGCCUGACUUCCUUUGGUGAUGAACAGCAGUGUGGAAAUGUCAGUGGACCCUCAGCUUCUAUUUAGUCAGUCUCCAAGGACUGACUAGAUUCACCUCAAGACUUUGGAAAUAUCUCCACCAUCUGCUUGUGAUCCUCCAUGGCUGUCAGUGCCCCCUAAGCCUCUUGUUAUAAAUCACCAGGAUCUCACUUUCCAGGAGACUCCACUGUAUUCAUGCUGUUUUCACACACAAUUAUUCCCAGAUAGCAGAGAGAGGAGGCUCAGGAGGAAGACCCAUGGGAUAAGAGACAUUUUAGGACACUGAGGAAACGUAACUUGAGCUCUUGAACUCAUUGAUGAGGACCAAAAGAAAUGAAUGAGCACCAGCAGAUGCUUUGGAAUACUGUGGAACGAUGGAUACCUGUCUAAUAUUGCCAAAGAGUUGGUUUCUGAGAUCCUAUGAGAAACAGCAGUCAUCAUUAGAACUGCCUGAAUGUUCUCUGGAAGGAGGAAUGGGAGGCUGGCCAAUCUAACAGGUUUUUUGAAAUAAGAUCACCACAUUAGUGGGCUAGUGAUAUGGGAACAUCAAGGAGCCCACAGUAAAAAAAAAUGUAUUUACGACAAAUACAAUUUGAAGAUCCUCCAA
rnacentral:lncRNA from 1 species